AACGAGUAAAAUUUAAGUACUAUAUGUACGCCUUAGACAUAAAAUGUCAGUCGAGCGUGAAAUAUACGGUUUUGUUGGAUAUAUACUAUCUUGGAUUCUUUAUGGCUUGUACUUAUUUUGGGCUUUCGUUCCUGAUUCAAUACUAGUAAGUUACGGCAUCACUUAUCUUCCACAAAAGUGGUGGGCCAUAGGUGUUCCCGUCUACAUAUGUACAUUGUAUUUAUUCAUUCUUGCCUUUGCUUUCUCCAGCAUCUUAAUCAAUACUCCAGAUUUAAAUUCUUUUAACACUAUUUCAGAUUCUUUUGCGAGAGGCGCUCCGGACUGUGACUUUGACCAAAAGUUUGCUUUUGGGGAUCCAUCACUCUACGACGGAGGGCCCAUUGAACCCAUUUACGAUUUACCUCUUUCCUUAAU